UGACGAGCUACUAAGUUGGAGAGAUGAUAUUGAGGCUUCUCUAUGGAAUACUAGUGUCGAUGAAGAUCUGUUGAAGAGGUGGAGAGGCUGUGAAACUCUGAAAUCUGUUAGAGUUUAUGUUGAAGAAGCGUGGGCGGCUAUGGGACCUUCAUUUCUUGAACAUGUGGUGCAGAAUGAGCAAAUUAAUCAAGUGUUGAAAUUCGAUCAAGAUCUUAAUUCUGUUGAAGUUCAAAGUAGUAGUGCAGGUACGGUAAAGGUAAUUGGAAGUUCAUCUUGAAUGUGUAUGGAGAUAUUUUGGUUGAGAGAAUUGAGGUUGAUUUGAAGGAUAAAUGGAGAAACAUGACAACACGUGGCUUAUGUUUUAUUUUGGGAAAACACGUGGCUUAUGUUUUAUUUUGGGAAAACACGUGGCUUAUGUUUUAUUUUGGGAAAACACGUGGCUUAUGUUUUAUUUUGGGAAAACAUGUGGCUUAUGUUACCAGAAACACUUAAGUAAACUCUGUGUGGUAGGAAGUCGUUUUAUGGAAGUCGUUUU